rnacentral:rRNA from 1 species
AGCUUGCUUCUCUGAUGUUAGCGGCGGACGGGUGAGUAACACGUGGAUAACCUACCUAUAAGACUGGGAUAACUUCGGGAAACCGGAGCUAAUACCGGAUAAUAUUUUGAACCGCAUGGUUCAAAAGUGAAAGACGGUCUUGCUGUCACUUAUAGAUGGAUCCGCGCUGCAUUAGCUAGUUGGUAAGGUAACGGCUUACCAAGGCAACGAUGCAUAGCCGACCUGAGAGGGUGAUCGGCCACACUGGAACUGAGACACGGUCCAGACUCCUACGGGAGGCAGCAGUAGGGAAUCUUCCGCAAUGGGCGAAAGCCUGACGGAGCAACGCCGCGUGAGUGAUGAAGGUCUUCGGAUCGUAAAACUCUGUUAUUAGGGAAGAACAUAUGUGUAAGUAACUGUGCACAUCUUGACGGUACCUAAUCAGAAAGCCACGGCUAACUACGUGCCAGCAGCCGCGGUAAUACGUAGGUGGCAAGCGUUAUCCGGAAUUAUUGGGCGUAAAGCGCGCGUAGGCGGUUUUUUAAGUCUGAUGUGAAAGCCCACGGCUCAACCGUGGAGGGUCAUUGGAAACUGGAAAACUUGAGUGCAGAAGAGGAAAGUGGAAUUCCAUGUGUAGCGGUGAAAUGCGCAGAGAUAUGGAGGAACACCAGUGGCGAAGGCGACUUUCUGGUCUGUAACUGACGCUGAUGUGCGAAAGCGUGGGGAUCAAACAGGAUUAGAUACC